rnacentral:rRNA from 1 species
AUUGCACGCUGGCGGCAGGCCUAACACAUGCAAGUCGAGCGAGCGGCGGACGGGUGAGUAAUGUCUGGGAAACUGCCUGAUGGAGGGGGCUAACUACUGGAAACGGUAGCUAAUACCGCAUACCAUCAGAUGUGCCCAGAUGGGAUUUGCUAGUAUGUGGGGUAACGGCUCACCUAGGCGACGAGCCCUAGCUGGGCUGAGAGGAGUACCAGCCACACUGGAACUGAGACACGGUCCAGACUCCUACGGGAGGCAGCAGUGGGGAAUAUUGCACAAUGGGCGCAAGCUGGAUGCAGCCAUGCCGCGUGUGUGAAGAAGGCCUUCGGGUUGUAAAGCACUUUCAGCGGGGAGGCGUUACCCGCAGAAGAAGCACCGGCUCACUCCGUGCCAGCAGCCGCGGUAAUAC